ACGAACGCUGGCGGCGUGCCUAAUCCAUGCCAGUAGAACGCACAGUUUAUACCGUAGCUUGCUACACCAUAACCUGUGAGUUGCGAACGGGUGAGUAACGCGUAGGUAACCUGCCUGGUAGCGGGGGAUAACUAUUGGAAACGAUAGCUAAUACCGCAUAAUAUUGAUUAUUGCAUGAUAAUUGAUUGAAAGAUGCUAUUGCAUCACUACCAGAUGGACCUGCGUUGUAUUAGCUAGUAGGUGAGGUAACGGCUCACCUAGGCGACGAUACAUAGCCGACCUGAGAGGGUGAUCGGCCACACUGGGACUGAGACACGGCCCAGACUCCUACGGGAGGCAGCAGUAGGGAAUCUUCGGCAAUGGACGAAAGUCUGACCGAGCAACGCCGCGUGAGUGAAGAAGGUUUUCGGAUCGUAAAGCUCUGUUGUAAGAGAAGAACGGGUGUGAGAGUGGAAAGUUCACACUGUGACGGUAUCUUACCAGAAAGGGACGGCUAACUACGUG
rnacentral:rRNA from 1 species